GUUCCAUGAGUGCCUCACAUCAAAGGCAGCAUGAAGGCAGGUGCAGCCUUUGUUCUGAUGGUUUUCAUCAUCAUGGGGAUGGAGCUGGCAUGCGCAUGGAGACCUCCUUUCAAAGGGCAAAAAAGACCCAGCGUGUGCCCAGAGGUGCCCAAAGGAUUCCUUGGGACUUGUGUUGAACUAUGCUCGGGAGAUCUAUCAUGUCCCAGGGGGAUGAAAUGCUGCAGCAAUGGAUGUGGUCAUGCCUGCAUGUAUCCUGUCCCACAAGGGGGAGCAUAGCCCUAGUGGCCGUGUGAAAGAUGGACAGGACAUUUAUGAAGCAUGCCUGGAUACCAGCCCCCAGAAGAUUCCUCAUGAAUCCAUGAAUCUGAUGCUUGGCAUUAACAAGACUCUUCCACAAUCCAUUCCUGGCUAUUACCUAGGAAUUGUAGGCCCUAGAAGAAGACUAUCUAAAGUGGUGCUAGAAGAAGACUAUCUAAAGUGGUAAUUCCUCAAAGGAGUGACUGCUUUCUAAAGAGCUUCUGUCCAAAAUAAACUGUAUCUUUGGCAUUA